AAAACUGGUUCCCAUAUGAUCACCAAAGUUAAGCAAUAUCAAGCCUGGUUAGUACUUAGAUGGAUGACCACUUUCGAAUACCAGGUGCUGUAAGC